ACAAGGUUUCCGUAGGUGANCUGCGGAAGGAUCAUUA
rnacentral:rRNA from 1 species